ACCCACAUAGCUCUCAGCUUUUCUACGUCCACGAGACGGUGGGAAGACAAUAGAUUUAGCCGUUAGUGUCUUUCCAUUGUCCAAUUUGAAUUUUAAAUAGAGAGAGACUUCCGGUGAAAUUCCUCGUUAAUCCUCACCUGUGUCGGUUUGGUCUUUGCCCUCCAUUUUGCUCAAUCGGUGUACCUCUGUUGCAAAAGCCUCUCGAUUAAUUGUUUUCAAUGCUAGAGGUGAUUUCUAAUCUAAGCCGAGGUCGUGAGAAUCAGACGUGCUCGGGCACGAAAUCAUUUAUCUGCUCGAAUUAAUGAUUGAUGGUCCUCAGCUAUCCUGCAGUGAGAAGCACCUCAAAGAUUUCUCACGGGACCUACUACGAUCGUGGUUCUGCAAGGCCUCUGCGGGUCAUAUGAAUAUUCAGCCCACCCGCACCCUUCAAUGAGAACGUAUUCUGUAUGGACUAUUUUGAAUGUUUCUUUGUGAUCCUACCAGCCCCAAGUCAGAUCCCAUCAUCUUCACUUCCUUCAGCCGAAAGUUCAUGGCUCCUCCUCUCUUGCUUUCCUCUUCUUUUUCCCAUCAUGUAGCAGCUGAAAUGGAUGAUAGCAGUUGAAGCAAGGAAUGGCAGUGGAAAUUCAAGUAAUAAGCAAGAGCAGCAGCCUGCACAAUACACACAAACAGCAACCAUGUUUAGCUUUUCUUUGAAUAUCUGCUGCUGUCCAGAAUUUAUGUUUUGGCAGUGUAACCAAGUGGAGGGAAGGCAGAAACAUGCAUAAUUCGUCUACUGCUUGAAGAGAACAAGUUGCCUUUAAGAAUCGCGGGCUUCUGUGAAGGGAUAAACAAGAGGGGGAAACAAGAAAGAGAUAAGGAGGGACAUGAGAGCAUGCAAGUGUCAAAGGGGUCAGAGGCUAAGGAGAGCAAAUCAGACAUGCCAAGGGUCAAGUCACCUCAUGGCAAGGGGAUUAGAUAAAGGGGAGGGAUCAGACGACUUUAAAAAGACGCUCUCAUCUUCUUCUUCUUUGGCUUCUUCUUCAACCCCGGAGAGGAGAGCUCCAGAGGGAUUUUCUUCUCCAACAAGCGGAUCUCCAGCUUUCUUUGUACAGUAAGAUAUGAGGGACCAUGAGUGAAUGUAAACCAAUACAUUAUAGUGGAAACUCCUCUUCACAAACCCCCCAUGGACGUAGGCCUAGUGCCGAACCACGUAAA